CCAAUAGCGUAUAUUAAAGUUGUUGCAGUUAAAAAGCUCGUAGUUGAAUUUCGAGAUCAAAUUGUUGGUCGUGCCUUGGUACGCACUGGCAUUAUUGGUUUCUCCCUUCUGACGAACCAUGAUGUCAUUAAUUUGGUGUCAUGGGAAAUCAGGACUGUUACUUUGAAAAAAUUAGAGUGUUUAAAGCAGGCUCGCGCUUGAAUACAUUAGCAUGGAAUAA
rnacentral:rRNA from 1 species